rnacentral:rRNA from 1 species
GUACCUACGGGGCGCAGCAGUGAGGAAUAUUGGUCAAUGGGCGAGAGCCUGAACCAGCCAAGUCGCGUGAGGGAGUACUGCCCUAUGGGUUGUAAACCUCUUUUGUCAGGGAGCAACGCCGGCUACGUGUAGCCGGACUGAGAGUACCUGAAGAAAAAGCAUCGGCUAACUCCGUGCCAGCAGCCGCGGUAAUACGGAGGAUGCGAGCGUUAUCCGGAUUUAUUGGGUUUAAAGGGUGCGUAGGCGGAAUGCCAAGUCAGCGGUAAAAUCGCGGGGCUCAACCUCGCUCCGCCGUUGAAACUGUC